GAUGAACGCUGGCGGCGUGCCUAAUACAUGCAAGUCGAGCGAACGGACGAGAAGCUUGCUUCUCUGAUGUUAGCGGCGGACGGGUGAGUAACACGUGGAUAACCUACCUAUAAGACUGGGAUAACUUCGGGAAACCGGAGCUAAUACCGGAUGAUAUUUUGAACCGCAGGGUUCAAAAGUGAAAGACGGUCUUGCUGUCACUUAUAGAUGGUUCCGCGCUGCAUUAGCUAGUUGGUAAGGUAACGGCUUACCAAGGCAACGAUGCAUAGCCGACCUGAGAGGGUGAUCGGCCACACUGGAGCUGAGACACGGUCCAGACUCCUACGGGAGGCAGCAGUAGGGAAUCUUCCGCAAUGGGCGGAAGCCUGACGGAGCAACGCCGCGUGAGUGAUGAAGGUCUUCGGAUCGUAAAACUCUGUUAUUAGGGAAGAACAUAUGUGUAAGUAACUGUGCACAUCUUGACGGUACCUAAUCAGAAAGCCCCGGCUAACUACGUG
rnacentral:rRNA from 1 species